UACGGGGGGGGCAAGCGUUGUUCGGAUUCAUUGGGCGUAAAGGGUGCGUAGGUGGCGCCGUAAGUCGGGUGUGAAAUUUCGGAGCUUAACUCCGAAACUGCAUUCAAUACUGCGGUGCUUGAGGACUGGAGAGGAGACUGGAAUUCAUGGUGUAGCAGUGAAAUGCGUAGAGAUCAUGAGGAAGACCAGUGGCGAAGGCGGGUCUCUGGACAGUUCCUGACACUGAGGCACGAAGGCCAGGGGAGCAAACGGG
rnacentral:rRNA from 1 species